UUAAAGAGAAAGAAGAAAAAUAUUCAAUUUGGAGUGUUAAUCGGUCAUCUUCUCCAUUGAUAAUAACUCUUUUCUUUCUCUCACUCUCUCUUCGACUGCGUUUUCGAUUGGGAAUUUCUCAAGCUUCUGAUCCGACGGCUCAGGAUCUCUUGGUCCCUCUAAUCGUACGCCUAAGAUUUCUUUGUCAGUCUCACCUCUUCUUCUCUCUCCAUCUUUACGGAGCUGAACUUCUCUGACGGUCAGCCCAUGGAGUUUAAUGGUGAUAGGAGAUUACGGGCAAACCAUCAUAGUAGUCGAGAAAAUGGUGGUGUUAAUCAUUUUAGUGCUACUGAUGACCUUGAUCCAUGGACAGCAUGGGCAUACAAGCCUCGGACCAUUUCGAUGUUACUUAUCGGUGCAUGCUUUCUCAUUUGGGUAAGCGGGGUCUUGGAUCCAAAAGGCAGUGCAUCUGGAUAUGUUGUUACAUCAGUUAAAAGG